rnacentral:rRNA from 1 species
AUUGAACGCUGGCGGCAGGCCUAACACAUGCAAGUCGAGCGGAUGAAGGGAGCUUGCUCCUGGAUUCAGCGGCGGACGGGUGAGUAAUGCCUAGGAAUCUGCCUGGUAGUGGGGGAUAACUUCCGGAAACGGGCGCUAAUACCCCAUCCUUCCUGAGGGAGAAAUUGGGGGAUCUUCGGACCUCACGCUUUCAUAUGAGCCUAGGUCGGAUUAGCUAGUUGGUGGGUUAAAGGCCUACCAAGGCGACGAUCCGUAACUGGUCUGAGAGGAUGAUCAGUCACACUGGAACUGAGACACGGUCCAGACUCCUACGGGAGGCAGCAGUGGGGAAUAUUGGACAAUGGGCGAAAGCCUGAUCCAGCCAUGCCGCGUGUGUGAAGAAGGUCUUCGGAUUGUAAAGCACUUUAAGUUGGGAGGAAGGGCAGUAAGUUAAUACCUUGCUGUUUUGACGUUACCAACAGAAUAAGCACCGGCUAACUUCGUG